GGUCAAGUUAAAAAGAGCACUAGGAGAAUGCCUAGGCACCAAGAGGCGAAGAAGGACGUGACAAGCUGCGAAAAGCUGAGGUUAGCUGCAAAUAAGCCAAGCCUCAGAUAUCCGAAUGGGGAAACCCACCUCAAAAGAGGAAUCCUAUAGCCAAUAAAUAACUAUAGGAAGCGAACCAGGUGAACUGAAACAUCUAAGUAACCUGAGGAAGAGAAAGAAAACUCGAUUCCCAAAGUAGCGGCGAGCGAACAGGGAAGAGCCCAAACGUGUAAAAAGAGAAAAUAGCCAGUCGAAUCAUCUGGGAAGACGAACCAAAGAAGGUAACAGUCCCGUAGACGAAGGCGAAGAUAUCCGACACAAAAGAGUACCACGGAACACGAGAAAUUCAGUGGGAAUACAGGGGGACCACCCCCUAAGGCUAAAUACUACUUGGUGACCGAUAGCGAACAAGUACCGUGAGGGAAAGGUGAAAAGAACCCCGGGAGGGGAGUGAAAUAGAAUCUGAAACCUAGUGUUUACAAGCAGCGAAAGUGGCAGAAGCCACGAUCGUGUACUUUUUGUAGAACGGGCCAGCGAGUUACGAUUACAAGCAAGGUUAAACAUUAAAGAUGUGGAGCCGAAGCGAAAGCGAGUCUAAAGAGGGCAAAAGUUAGUAGUCGUAGACCCGAAACCGUGUGAUCUAUCCAUGAGCAGAGUGAAGUUGAAGUAAAAUUCAAUGGAGGCUCGAACCGGGUAGCGUUUAAAAGCUAUCGGAUGACUUGUGGAUAGGGGUGAAAAGCCAAACGAACACGGAGAUAGCUGGUUCUCCUCGAAAUAGCUUUAGGGCUAGCCUCUAGCAAGAAUGAAAAGGGGGUAGAGCACUGACUGGUCAAGGGGCAUGCAUAUGUUACCGAGACCUAUCAAACUCCGAAUACCAAAUCAUACGCUAGGGAGUCAGACUAUGGGGGAUGAGCUUCAUAGUCGAAAGGGAAAGAGCCCAGACCAUCAGCUAAGGUCCCAAAAUUAUAGUUAAGUGGGAAAGGAUGUGGAGUUACUGAGACAACUAGGAUGUUGGCUUAGAAGCAGCCACUCAUUUAAAGAGUGCGUAAUAGCUCACUAGUCAAGUGACUCUGCGCCGAAGAUAACCGGGGCUAAACUAUAUACCGAAGCUAUGGAACGAAAAACGUUGGUAGAGGAGCAAUGUAUGAAGGAAGAAGCAGAAGUUGAAAAGCACUGUGGACAUCAUACAAGAGAGAAUGCUGGCAUGAGUAGCGAGAGGUGAGUGAGAAUCUCACCCGUCGAAAACCUAAGGAUUCCUGAGCAAGGCUCGUCCACUCAGGGUAAGUCGGGACCUAAGGCGAGGCUGAAAAGCGUAGUCGAUGGACAACAGGUUGAAAAUCCUGUACCGAUACAAUCAGUGAGGAAGUGGGGACGCAGAAGGAUAAUAAGAGCGCCCAGUUGGUGAGGCGUGCAAGCGCAAAGGAUGGAAAGUAGGCAAAUCCGCUUUCCGAGAAGUCUAAAGCGUGAUGCGGAUCGAAAACAAGUAGAGAAGCUUAUAACUCCACACUGCCAAGAAAAGCCACUACAAGAGAAGUAUCGCCCGUACCGCAAACCGACACAGGUAGGUGAGGAGAGAAUCCUAAGACGAGCGGAAAAACCUUUGUUAAGGAACUCGGCAAAAUGACCCCGUAACUUCGGGAGAAGGGGAGCCCCUGUAAAAGGGGGCCGCAGUGAAAAGGCCCAAGCGACUGUUUACCAAAAACACAAGUUUCUGCGAAGUCGAAAGACGAAGUAUAGGAGCUGACACCUGCCCGGUGCUGGAAGGUUAAGGGAAAAAGUUAGCAUAAGCGAAGCUUAGAACUGAAGCCCCAGUAAACGGCGGCCGUAACUAUAACGGUCCUAAGGUAGCGAAAUUCCUUGUCGGGUAAGUUCCGACCCGCACGAAAGGUGUAACGAUUUGGG
rnacentral:rRNA from 1 species